GACGAACGCUGGCGGCGUGCUUAACACAUGCAAGUCGAACGGAAAGGCCCUGCUUUUGUGGGGUGCUCGAGUGGCGAACGGGUGAGUAACACGUGAGUAACCUGCCCUUGACUUUGGGAUAACUUCAGGAAACUGGGGCUAAUACCGGAUAGGAGCUCCUGCUGCAUGGUGUGGGUUGGAGAGUUUCGGCGGUUGGGGAUGGACUCGCGGCUUAUCAGCUUGUUGGUGGGGUAGUGGCUUACCAAGGCUUUGACGGGUAGCCGGCCUGAGGGGGUGACCGGCUACAUUGGGACUGAGAUACGGCCCAGACGUAUACGGGAGGCAGCAGUGAGGAAGAAUGCACAAUGGGCGGAAGCCUGAGGCAGGAACGCCGCGUGCGGGAUGACGGCCUUCGGGUUGUAAACCGCUUUAGCCUGUGACGAAGCGUGAUAGACGGUAAUGGGUAAAGAAGCACCGGCUAAUUACGU
rnacentral:rRNA from 1 species